GUCCCCAGGGUAGCCUAGUGGACAUGGCAUCUGCCUGGCAAGCGGAACACUGUGGGUUCGAUUCCCAUCCCUGGACA
rnacentral:tRNA from 1 species